AUUCAUCAUAUUUUUAGUCUACAUUUUCUAUAAUUUGGAUUAUUUCUCUUUCAUUUACAUUUAUUUUUAACAGGUACAUGUGAUUCCCUUCCGUUUCCGUUCUCUUUCCGUUUAAUUAUAAUGAAGUGGAACGUAAGCAUGAAUUAAACGGAAAGGGAAGCAUGAUUUUAUUAUUAUUGAAUUAAACACAAAGCGAAAGGAGCACAUGAUUCACCCAGUUCCGUCCAGCCAUUCCAUUCCGUUACAUUUU
rnacentral:ribozyme from 1 species